CGUGUAGGCGGUUGGUCAAGUCGGGUGUGAAAGCCUGGGGCUCAGCCCCAGAAGUGCAUCCGAAACUAGCCAGCUAGAGCGCGAUAGAGGAGGGUGGAAUUCCUGGUGUAGCGGUGAAAUGCGUAGAUAUCAGGAGGAACACCGGCGGCGAAGGCGGCCCUCUGGAUCGUUGCUGACGCUGAGACGCGAAAGCGUGGGGAGCAAACAGGAUUAGAUACCCUGGCAGUCCACGCCUUAAACGAUGGGUACUAGGUGUUCGGGGUGUUGACCCCCUGAGUGCCGCAGUUAACGCAUUAAGUACCCCGCCUGGGACUACGGCCGCAAGGUUAAA
rnacentral:rRNA from 1 species